rnacentral:misc_RNA from 1 species
GCCAGAGAUAUCAUAGCCAGAGAGGUUCAAAGAGGUGACAAAGUGGUUGUCAUCACACUCAACGCCAACCCAAGAACAUGGAUUGGUAUCUGAAGCAUUCCAAGAAGAGGGUACACCAAUCCAGUCACUAGAAAGGGAAACUAAAGCGGUGCCAUCAGAAGUGAGACCACAUACAGCAAAAGCCGACACUGAGAAAUAGCAGCAGUAGAAAAAGAUCAAAUUAUGAACAG